UACGUGAGGCAGCAAGCGUUGUUCGGAAUUACUGGGCGUAAAGAGUGUGUAGGCGGUGCUCUAAGUCUGUUGUGAAAAUCUCCCGGCUUAACUGGGAGGGUGCGGCGGAGACUGGAGUGCUAGAGUGUGGGAGAGGUAAGCGGAAUUCCUGGUGUAGCGGUGAAAUGCGUAGAUAUCAGGAGGAACACCUGUGGUGUAGACAGCUUACUGGACCACGACUGACGCUGAGACACGAAAGCGUGGGUAGCAAACAGG
rnacentral:rRNA from 1 species